UACGUAGGGGGCAAGCGUUGUCCGGAUUUAUUGGGCGUAAAGCGCUCGCAGGCGGCCUGAUGCGUCGUGCGUGAAACACCCCGGCUCAACUGGGGAGGGUCGUGCGAUACGGUCAGGCUCGAGGCCAGUAGGGGGAUGCGGAAUUCCGGGUGUAGUGGUGGAAUGCGUAGAGAUCCGGAGGAACACCAGCGGCGAAGGCGGCAUCCUGGACUGGUACUGACGCUCAGGAGCGAAAGCGUGGGGAGCGAUCCGG
rnacentral:rRNA from 1 species